AAUGAAAAAGCUGUUCCUUUAUCCAGAUCACCUUUCAAUUGAAGGAUUAAUUCCUCUAAAUCC
ensembl:misc_RNA